rnacentral:rRNA from 1 species
GACGAACGCUGGCGGCGUGCUUAACACAUGCAAGUCGAACGGAAAGGCCCUGCUCUUGUGGGGUGCUCGAGUGGCGAACGGGUGAGUAACACGUGAGUAACCUGCCCUUGACUUUGGGAUAACUUCAGGAAACUGGGGCUCAUACCGGAUAGGAGCUCCUGCUGCAUGGUGGGGGUUGGAAAGUUUCGGCGGUUGGGGAUGGACUCGCGGCUUAUCAGCUUGUUGGUGGGGUAGUGGCUUACCAAGGCUAUGACGGGUAGCCGGCCUGAGAGGGUGACCGGCCACAUUGGGACUGAGAUACGGCCCAGACUCCUACGGGAGGCAGCAGUGGAGAAUAUUGCACAAUGGGCGGGAGCCUGAUGCAGCAACGCCGCGUGCGGGAUGACGGCCUUCGGGUUGUAAACCGCUUUCGCCUGUGACGAAGCGUGAGUGACGGUAAUGGGUAAAGAAGCACCGGCUAACUACGUG